rnacentral:rRNA from 1 species
UACGGAGGGUGCAAGCGUUGUUCGGAAUUACUGGGCGUAAAGCGCGUGUAGGCGGCCGAUUAAGUCUGGUGUGAAAGCCCGGGGCUCACCCCCGGAAUGGCCUCCGAUACUGCCGUGCUCGAGGACUGGAGAGGAGUCUGGAAUUCACAGUGGAGCAGUGAAAUGCGUAGAUAUCGGGAGGAAUACCGAUGGCGAAGGCAGGUCUCUGGGCUGACACUGACGCUCAUGCACGAAAGCGUGGGGAGCAAACAGG